rnacentral:rRNA from 1 species
AGAGUUUGAUCCUGGCUCAGGACGAACGCUGGCGGCGUGCUUAACACAUGCAAGUCGAGCGAUGAAGUUUCUUCGGAAAUGGAUUAGCGGCGAACGGGUGAGGAACACGUGAAGAAUCUGCCCUCCACUUUGGGAUAACACCGGGAAACCGGUGCUAAUACCGAAUAUUGAAACAUAAGUGGCAUCACUGAGUUUUGAAAGAAUUUCGGUGGAGGAUGACUUCGCGGCCUAUCAGCUAGUUGGUGAGGUAAUGGCUCACCAAGGCAACGACGGGUAGCCGGCCUGAGAGGGCGACCGGCCACACUGGGACUGAGACACGGCCCAGACUCCUACGGGAGGCAGCAGUGGGGAAUAUUGGGCAAUGGAGGAAACUCUGACCCAGCGACGCCGCGUGCGGGAUGAAGGCCUUCGGGUUGUAAACCGCUUUCAGUAGGGAAGAAGCGAAAGUGACGGUACCUACAAAAGAAGCACCGGCUAACUAUGUGCCAGCAGCCGCGGUAAUACAUAGGGUGCAAGCGUUGUCCGGAAUUAUUGGGCGUAAAGAGCUCGUAGGUCGUUUGUUACGUCGGAUGUGAAAACCUGAGGCUCAACCUCAGGCCUGCAUUCGAUACGGGCAAACUAGAGUUUGGUAGGGGAGACUGGAAUUCCUGGUGUAGCGGUGGAAUGCGCAGAUAUCAGGAGGAACACCAAUGGCGAAGGCAGGUCUCUGGGCCAAUACUGACACUGAGGAGCGAAAGUCUGGGGAGCGAACAGGAUUAGAUACCCUGGUAGUCCAGACCGUAAACGGUGGGCACUAGUUGUGGGAACCUUCCACGGUUUCUGCGACGCAGCUAACGCAUUAAGUGCCCCGCCU